GAGACACCCUUCUGGGGCAAGACUUGCUUCAGUGGGGCUUUGGUGCUCACUGAGUCUGCCCCCUUAGUGUGUCCAU
rnacentral:pre_miRNA from 1 species